rnacentral:rRNA from 1 species
UGGGGAAUAUUGCACAAUGGGGGAAACCCUGAUGCAGCGACGCCGCGUGGAGGAAGAAGGUCUUCGGAUUGUAAACUCCUGUUGUCGGGGACGAUAAUGACGGUACCCGACAAGAAAGUGACGGCUAACUACGUGCCAGCAGCCGCGGUAAAACGUAGGUCACGAGCGUUGUCCGGAAUUACUGGGUGUAAAGGGAGCGCAGGCGGGGAUGCAAGUUGGAAGUGAAAUCUACGGGCUCAACUCGUAAACUGCUUUCAAAACUGCAUCUCUUGAGUAGUGCAGAGGUAGGCGGAAUUCCCGGUGUAGCGGUGGAAUGCGUAGAUAUCGGGAGGAACACCAGUGGCGAAGGCGGCCUACUGGGCACCAACUGACGCUGAGGCUCGAAAGUAUGGGUAGCAAACAGG